rnacentral:rRNA from 1 species
AACGAACGCUGGCGGCAGGCCUAACACAUGCAAGUCGAGCGCCCCGCAAGGGGAGCGGCGGACGGGUGAGUAACGCGUGGGAACGUACCCUUUGCUACGGAAUAGCCUCGGGAAACUGGGAGUAAUACCGUAUGUGCCCUUCGGGGGAAAGAUUUAUCGGCAAGGGAUCGGCCCGCGUUGGAUUAGGUAGUUGGUGGGGUAAUGGCCUACCAAGCCGACGAUCCAUAGCUGGUUUGAGAGGAUGAUCAGCCACACUGGGACUGAGACACGGCCCAGACUCCUACGGGAGGCAGCAGUGGGGAAUCUUAGACAAUGGGCGCAAGCCUGAUCUAGCCAUGCCGCGUGAGCGAUGAAGGCCUUAGGGUUGUAAAGCUCUUUCAGGGGGGAAGAUAAUGACUGUACCCACAGAAGAAGCCCCGGCUAACUCCGUG